AGAGUUUGAUCCUGGCUCAGGAUGAACGCUGGCGGCGUGCUUAAUACAUGCAAGUCGAACGAAGAGCUUUUGUAGCAAUACGGGAGCUUCUUAGUGGCGAACGGGUGCGUAACGCGUUGGUGACCUGCCCCGAAGUGUGGGAUAACAGUUCGAAAGGACUGCUAAUACCGCAUGUGAUCUUCAGUUUUAGAAUCUGAUGAUUAAAGCAGUAAUGCGCUUUGGGAGGGACCUGCGUCCCAUCAGCUAGUUGGUGAGGUAACGGCUCACCAAGGCUACGACGGGUAGGGGACCUGAGAGGGUGGUCCCCCACACUGGCACUGAAACACGGGCCAGACACCUACGGGUGGCAGCAGUAGGGAAUAUUGGGCAAUGGGCGAAAGCCUGACCCAGCAACGCCGCGUGCACGAUGAAGGUCUUCGGAUCGUAAAGUGCUUUUCUGAGAGAUGAGAAAGGACAGUAUCUCAGGAAUAAGUCUCGGCUAACUACGUGCCAGCAGCCGCGGUAACACGUAGGAGGCAAGCGUUAUCCGGAUUUACUGGGUGUAAAGGGCGCGCAGGCGGGUUGACAAGUCAGAGGUGAAAUCCUACAGCUUAACUGUAGAACUGCCUUUGAGACUGUCAAUCUUGAGUACGGAAGAGAGAGAUGGAAUUCCAGGUGUAGAGGUGAAAUACGUAGAUAUCUGGAAGAACACCAGUGGCGAAGGCGGUUUCCUGGCCUGAUACUGACACUGAGGCGCGAAAGCGUGGGGAGCAAACAGGAUUAGAUACCCUGGUAGUC
rnacentral:rRNA from 1 species